rnacentral:rRNA from 1 species
GAUCAUGGCUACAGAACGAACGCUGGCGGCAGGCCUCAAACAUGCAAGUCUAGCGGGCAUAGCAAUAUGUCAGCGGCGGACGGGUGCGUAACACGUGGGAAUGUACCUAUUGGUUCGGAACAACGCAGGGAAACUUGCGCUAAUACCGAAUGUGCCCUUCGGGGGAAAGAUUUAUCGCCAAUGGAUCAGCCCGCGUUCGAUUAGCUAGUUGGUGAGGUAAUGGCUCACCAAGGCGACGAUCGAUAGCUGUUCUGAGAGGAAGAUCAGCCACACUGGGACUGAGACACGGCCCAGACUCCUACGGGAGGCAGCAAUUAGGAAUCUUGCGCAAUGGGGGAAACCCUGACGCAGCGACGCCGCGUGAGCGAUGAAGUCUCUAGGGAUGUAAAGCUCUGUCCUGCGGGGAAGAAAAAAUGACGGUACCCGCAGAGAAAGCCCCGGCUAACUACGUG